GGAGGGCCGAUGGUCUUCAUCACAGCGUGGAGCAUCCUCAAAGCCUACUUUAACGACGUGGGGUGCUGGGAUAUAAUCGAGAACACUGAUGUCUUCUGGUGGAUCAUUAAAACCCCGAUUUUGGCGUCAAUCUUGAUGAACUUUAUUCUAUUCAUCUGCAUCAUACGAAUACUUCGCCAGAAAAUCAACUGCCCUGAUAUUGGAAGAAGCGAGUCCAACCAG